UCUGGCUGUCCACGUCCUUGACCUGGUGACUUUUGACCUUCAGGACUAAUUUUUCCUAGUUCUGACUGUCCUGGUUUUCCACCUUGUGGAUUUUGACAUCCAGGAAAAAGGAGGUAUGACCCGAAGUGGACAAGGAGGAGGACGCGAAGGACGAGGAGAACCAGGUGGACGAGGAAGACGAGGAUUUGUGCUCGGUGUAAUCCAAGGUGGUUAGUGGUGGUCGUUGGUGGUGGUUGACGGUGGUUGGAGGUGGUCGGAGGUGGACAAGAAGAAGGACGAGGAAGACAAGGAGAUGAAGGUGGACGAGGUGGACGAGGAUUUGUGCUCGGUAUAACCCGAG